UACGUAGGGAGCGAGCGUUAUCCGGAAUUAUUGGGCGUAAAGCGUGCGUAGGCGGCGUGUUAAGUCGAAUGUGAAAGCCCACAGCUUAACUGUGGAGGGUCAUUCGAAACUGGCAUGCUAGAGUACGGCAGAGGUUAGUGGAAUUCAAUGUGUAGCGGUAAAAUGCGUAGAUAUAUUGAGGAACACCAGUGGCGAAGGCGGCUAACUGGCCCGGAACUGACGCUGAGGCACGAAAGCGUGGGGAGCAAACAGG
rnacentral:rRNA from 1 species